UACGGAGGGUGCAAGCGUUAAUCGGAAUUACUGGGCGUAAAGCGUGCGCAGGCGGUUUGUUAAGUCCGUUGUGAAAGCCCCGAGCUCAACUUGGGAAUUGCAGUGGAUACUGGCAGGCUGGAGUACGGUAGAGGAAGGUGGAAUUCCCGGUGUAGCAGUGAAAUGCGUAGAUAUCGGGAGGAACACCAGUGGCGAAGGCGGCCUUCUGGACCAGUACUGACGCUCAUGGCACGAAAGCGUGGGGAGCAAACAGG
rnacentral:rRNA from 1 species